rnacentral:rRNA from 1 species
UACGUAGGUCCCGAGCGUUGUCCGGAUUUAUUGGGCGUAAAGCGAGCGCAGGCGGUUUGAUAAGUCAGAAGUAAAAGGCUGUGGCUCAACCAUAGUACGCUUUUGAAACUGUCAAACUUGAGUGCAGAAGGGGGGAGUGGAAUUCCAUGUGUAGCGGUGAAAUGCGUAGAUAUAUGGAAGAACACCAGUGGCGAAAGCGGCUCUCUGGUCUGUAACUGACGCUGAGGUUCGAAAGCGUGGGUAGCAAACAGG